rnacentral:rRNA from 1 species
UGUUCCCAUUCCGAACACAGAAGUUAAGCUCUUUAGCGCCGAUGGUACUUGGUGGGAAGCUGCCUGGGAGAGUAGGACGUAGCCACGU